GACGAACGCUGGCGGCGUGCUUAACACAUGCAAGUCGAACGGAAAGGCCCUGCUUUUGUGGGGUGCUCGAGUGGCGAACGGGUGAGUAACACGUGAGUAACCUGCCCUUGACUUUGGGAUAACUUCAGGAAACUGGGGCUAAUACCGGAUAGGAGCUCCUGCUGCAUGGUGGGGGUUGGAAAGUUUCGGCGGUUGGGGAUGGACUCGCGGCUUAUCAGCUUGUUGGUGGGGUAGUGGCUUACCAAGGCUUUGACGGGUAGCCGGCCUGAGAGGGUGAACGGCCACAUUAGGACUGAGAGACGGCCCAGACUCGUACGGGAGGCAGCAGUGGAGAGUAUUGCACAGUGGGCGGAAGCCUGAUGCAGCAGCGCCGCGUGCGGGAUGACGGCCUUCGGGUUAUAAACCGCUUUCGCCUGUGACGAAGCGUGAGUGACGGUAAUGAGUAAAGAAGCAACGGCUAACUACGUG
rnacentral:rRNA from 1 species